AACUCUCUUCUUAAUCUGCAGGACCAGACAUGAGCAGAUAUUACUGGAUCUUGGACAAGUGGGUCUCUAAGGAACAUCAAAGACCCUGAGAAGCCAAAAGUUAUGAAAUGCAUCAGCAGUGGGUUGAAGACAAGACCUCUCCUUUUCCUGCUGACAUUUCUUCCAUGAGCAGUACCCAGACAGCCGACAGAAAGAGCCCAGGAGAUCAAUGGUGGUGUUGGAUCAAAAUUGUAGCUCACAAGGAAAAUCCUGUAAAGGAACCAUAUUUUUCUGUGUUGCCUGCCAAAAUGAGAACAUCAUUUGUUAAAUAAUGUGGGACACAGGUGCCCCGGAUGUACUAUUUAAUGGAGAAAGAAAAAGAGAGAAACAAUGGCUGCCAGUAUCCGGGAAAAAUGCGACUAGCUUCUUAAGCUUCUUCACCCAGAAAUUGUUACAAAUAGAAGGGAAUCUGACUUUGAGCUAUGAGUUGUUGCUUCCCCAUGACUGAAUUCCCCAAGAACUGAGUUAUUACUGACCUGUGAUUUGCUCAUCAUAAGGUCUCACUGUUAAUUACUGCUCUCUGCUCCGCAGAAACUUUGAAUUCCACCAAAGGGUGUGCCGAAGGCUUAGAUGUUGAGAAGCGUGAAUUCAUCCUGCACAACAAAUAUCAUAGAGAUGGGACUGGAGCGGGGGACAAGAAGGGGGAGAAUGAACAAGAUGCAUGUUGCAAAACCCCAAGGGGUGCUAUUUGUAUGGUAGCCUGAGUGAACAGCAAUUUCCCUGAGGGGUGGUUGCAGCAGAUACUGUGGGUACCAUCUCUACAUCUCUUACUCCUUACUCGUUCCUGCCUUACUCCUUCAGGGCAGAGCAGCCCAACUUACUCUUUGCCUAAGGACAGUCUCUGGUAUCUAAGUCUAGGUUAGCCACUCAUGGCAGGCCAGAUGAAUGAUUGCUAGGAGUCUUGCAUAUACACCCGGUUUCCUUGCCACUUGGAUAGGAUAAAGGUGCUUCACCCCAUUUUCCAGCAGUCUCCAGCAAGUCUAGGUUCCACUUGCUCACAGCAGUAGCUGAUUUUGUGAAACAUCCUUUCUGGGCUGCCUUCCUUUCUCUCUCUCCCUUUCCCUCUCCCAUCUCUGAUUUUCUUCUACUUCCCCCAAUAUAUUAAUAUUAUCUCAGGGAUGGCUUUUGGGAACCCCAAUCAAAGAAAGGAGCAAACUCAAUUAAGACCCUCUGUUUUAGGUAACUUUGGGAACCUGGUGGAGCAUCCUGACAUUACAUCCUGAACCAGAGUAUGUCUCAAGAUAUUUUUGGAUCCUGCUUUUGUGGAGACAGAAUCCACAACACAGCAGAGAGUUCCUCACUCCAAGAGGUACAUUCUUCUUACUGUCUGGUUCACUCCCUAGACACAUGCCAGCUUGACCAUCAUACAGAGCAGCCCCCAGGAUGAAGGCAAACUUCUAUCUGGAGUCUGAUCUUUCCAAGAUAGGGCUGAAUCAACUUAGCUCUUUUUUCUUGUGGCUCAUUGCUGCUUUCCAGAUUGAGAAUAGCCUCAGAUUUCUUUCUGGCUUCCAUAUACCAUGCAUCCUAUUGCUUUGCUUAUACUCUUACCCCCCAAUGUCAAAAUAGUCCUGAAGUGUAUACCAGAUCAUGUCACACAUAUGCAGAACUGAUCAUGUCAGUUCAACCUUGGCUCCAAGAAUAAAGCUGUAAGUCCUAUAA
ensembl:lncRNA putative novel transcript.